GCCUCGGUAGUGUAAUGGAUCAGCACGACAGACCGGAUAUCUGUAAGUGCGAGUUCGAGUCUCGACUGAGGUU
rnacentral:tRNA from 1 species